rnacentral:tRNA from 1 species
UCCGGUGUAGCCAAAUGGUAAGGCACGUCCCUGUUAAGGACGCGACUGUAGGUUCGAUUCCUACUGCCGGAG